rnacentral:rRNA from 1 species
UACGUAGGGGGCAAGCGUUGUCCGGAAUUAUUGGGCGUAAAGCGCGUGUAGGCGGCUCGGUAAGUCUGCUGUGAAAGUCCAGGGCUCAACCCUGGAAGGCCGGUGGAAACUGUCGGGCUAGAGUCCGGAAGAGGCGAGUGGAAUUCCCGGUGUAGCGGUGAAAUGCGCAGAUAUCGGGAGGAACACCAAUGGCGAAGGCAGCUCGCUGGGACGGUACUGACGCUGAGACGCGAAAGCGUGGGGAGCAAACAGG